GACGAACGCUGGCGGCGUGCUUAACACAUGCAAGUCGAACGGAAAGACCCUGCUUUUGUGGGGUGCUCGAGUGGCGAACGGGUGAGUAACACGUGAGUAACCUGCCCUUGACUUUGGGAUAACUUCAGGAAACUGGGGCUAAUACCGGAUAGGAGCUCCUGCUGCAUGGUGGGGGUUGGAAAGUUUCGGCGGUUGGGGAUGGACUCGCGGCUUAUCAGCUUGUUGGUGGGGUAGUGGCUUACCAAGGCUUUGACGGGUAGCCGGCCUGAGAGGGUGACCGGCCACAUUGGGACUGGGAUACGGCCAAGACUCUUACGGGAGGAAGCAGUGGGGAAUAUUGCACAAUGGGCGGAAGCCUGAUGCAGAAACGCGGCGUGCGGGAUGACGGCCUUCGGGUUGUAAACCGCUUUCGCCUGUAACGAAGCGUGAGUGACGGUAAUGGGUAAAGAAGCACCGGCUAACUACGU
rnacentral:rRNA from 1 species